CCUACGGGCGGCAGCAGUGAGGAAUAUUGGUCAAUGGCCGGAAGGCUGAACCAGCCAAGCCGCGUGAAGGACGAAGGUGCCAAGCAUUGUAAACUUCUUUUAUAAGCGAGAAAUAUGAUGGUAACUUAUGAAUAAGGAUCGGCUAACUACGUGCCAGCAGCCGCGGUCAUACGUAGGAUCCGAGCAUUAUCCGGAGUGACUGGGUGUAAAGAGUUGCGUAGGUGGCAUAGUAAGUAGCUAGUGAAAUCUGGUGGCUCAACCAUUCAGACUAUUAGCUAAACUGCUAAGCUCGAGACCGUUAGGGGUAACUGGAAUGUCUAGUGUAGGAGUGAAAUCCGUAGAUAUUAGAAGGAACACCGAUAGCGUAGGCAGGUUACUGGGACGGUUCUGACACUAAGGCACGAAAGCGUAGGGAGCAAACGGGAUUAGAUACCCGAGUAGUC
rnacentral:rRNA from 1 species